AUUGAACGCUGGCGGCAGGCCUAACACACGCAAGUCGAGCGGAUGAAGGUUGCUUGCUCCUUGAUUCAGCGGCGGACGGGUGAGUAAUGCCUAGGAAUCUGCCUUCUAUCUGCUGAUAACGUCCUGAAACGGGCGCUAAUACCGCAUACGUCCUGAGGGCGAAAGUGGGCGAUCUUCGGACCCCACGCUUUCAGAUGAGCCUAGGUCGGAUUAGCUAGUUGGUGGGGUAAAGGCCUACCAAGGCGACGAUCCGUAACUGGUCUGAGAGGAUGAUCAGUCACACUGGAACUGAGAUACGGUCCAGACUGGUACGGGAGGCAGCAGUGGGGAAUAUUGGACAAUGGGCGAAAGCCUGAUCCAGCCAUGCCGCGUGUGUGAAGAAGGUCUUCGGAGUGUAACACACUUUAAGUUGGGAGGAAGGGCAGUAAGUAAAUAACUUGAUGUUUUAACAAUACCAACAGAAUAAGCCCCGGCUAACUUCGUG
rnacentral:rRNA from 1 species